UUUCCCUGGUCCUGCGGCCUGGCGCUAGUGAAUUGGGUUGCAAGUGUGCUGUGGAGCUAGAUGAGAUAGACCUGGCGACCUGGCUUAGCUUCCCUAUCAUUAGCGCUUGACCGAAUCGCUUAGUUUUGCAGGUUAGAAAGGCAGUGGACGCUCUCUUGACGCAUUGCAAGUCCAGGAAAAACAAUUAUGGGUUGCUUUUGAAUGAGAAUGAAAGUUUAUUUUUAAUGGUGGUAUUAUGGAAAAUUCCAAGUAAAGAACUGAGGGUCAGAUUGACCUUGCCUCAUAGUAUUCGAUCAGAUUCAGAAGAUAUCUGUUUAUUUACGAAGGAUGAACCCAAUUCAACUCCUGAAAAGACAGAACAGUUUUAUAGAAAGCUUUUAAACAAGCAUGGAAUUAAAACCGUUUCUCAGAUUAUCUCCCUCCAAACUCUAAAGAAGGAAUAUAAAUCCUAUGAAGCCAAGCUCCGCCUUCUGAGCAGUUUUGAUUUCUUCCUUACUGAUGCCAGAAUUAGGCGGCUCUU
rnacentral:lncRNA from 1 species